CCCUUAGAUGUUCUGGGCUGCACGCGCGCUACACUGACGCACGCAACAGGUGCCUGCUCCGAGAGGACUGGGUAAUCAUUUGAGUGUGCGUCGUGAUGGGGAUAGAAUAUUGUAAUUAUUACUCUUCAACGAGGAAUUCCUAGUAAGCGCCAGUCAGCAGCUUGCGCUGAUUACGUCCCUGCCCUUUGUACACACCGCCCGUCGCUCCUACCGAUGGGUGAUCCGGUUAAUGAUUCGGACUUCAGCGGCUCCCCUGGGGUGCGCCGGAGAAAGUUUUGUGAACCUUAUCACUUGGAGGAAGGAGAAGUCGUAACA
rnacentral:rRNA from 1 species